rnacentral:misc_RNA from 1 species
GACUUGAUUUGGAUCGGAGACAUUGGCUUUGACGGCGAUUGCGCGUGGGGAAUCGGAGGUGGAAUUGAUUUGGGAUACGACGUCGUCAGCUUGAGUAGAGUUGGAAGUGUAGUUGAUGACGAGUUUAGCUCCGAGAGAGGCCAAGUGAAGAGCAAUUGCUUUGCCGAUUCCGCGAGAAGAGCCGGUAACAAUGGCUACACGAUUCCCGAGGCUUUGGCCUUGGGCUACGUUUGUUUCCGCCAUGAUCACUGAAGAAAAGCACUGAAAUUGCUAGAAAAUGGAAUUUUGUGGA